rnacentral:tRNA from 1 species
AAUAAAGUGCCUGAAAAAGGAUUAUUCUGAUAGAAUAAAUCAUGUAAACAUUUACCUUUAUUA